rnacentral:rRNA from 1 species
GACAGAGGCCUCGAGCGUUAGGCGGAAUCACUGGGCUUAAAGCGUGUGUAGGCGGGCCCGUAAGUGUCUUGUGAAAUCCCACGGCUCAACCGUGGAACUGCUGGGCAUACUGCGGGUCUUGGGCCAACUAGGGGCAGCCGGAACAAGCGGUGGAGCGGUGAAAUGCGUAGAUAUCGUUUGGAACGCCGACGGCGAAAGCAGCUGACUGGGAGUGAUCUGACGCUGAGACACGAAAGCCAGGGGAGCGAACGGG